GGGCCCACCUAGACGUGAUCAAAGCUCCGCCUCGCCCGACCAAGACGCCAGGAUCGGGAAUGUCCGACCCCCCUCCACAAAGUUUCCGCCUCGCCCGACUGCGGCCCCGGGGUCGGGGGUGCCCGACCCCUCGUCACGAAGUUCCGCCUCGUCCGACCCCAAGCGAAGGGGUCGGGCGCGCUGAGGCCCCCGGGGCAGGCAUCCCCCUCGGAUACGGUCCAGAUGGACGAGACCGACAAAAUCCUGUGGGUCCCCCCGUCGGCCUGGCCAUAAAUGCGCCGCAGGCCUGGCAGAGGGAACGGAUGACCGCGCUCCUCACGCAACCUAUCACAAGUACCCGUGCACGACCACGCUGUACAGGCUACAGUGCCGGCGGCUGACUCCCAUUCGCCGCAGGGUACUCAUGGCCUGCGCCGGCCGGAGCGAAGGAGAGACCGGCCUGUCCUCAGGCCCCGCGCGCCCUCGGGCCCCGCACGGCAAGGAUGUGACGCUCUCUCUCAGGAGCUAUCGCCUGAACAACAGCAUCCACCGUCCUCCCCAGCAGACACCAGGAUAACGACGGAACGCCCUCAUCAUGACCCGACGCCUACGGGUAUCGAAGGAGCUAUCUGUAGGGAGCAACAACAGUUGGCACACGGCGGCCUCCCCUUCCGGCAUGCACGCCGGCGUUCACCAGGGGCCGGCAGAGGCGUCGGGCGCCUAGGAACUUGCUCCUCCUCCCUGCCAUGUUUUUACCAUUCUACGCUUUACUCUUUACAGUCCUCUUCACCCGAUCCCAACUGUAACUCCGGCCACCCCCUUGCGAUAUAAAAGGAGGAAUCCAGGUCCGGAGGGGGGAUCGGCUUCUUCUCCCACAAGCCACAACACACAACGACUCUCCUUGAGAGCACGAGCACCCAAAGAGACUUGGGACCAGUCCCUCUCUCGUCGACCUGUAACCCCUACUAUAGAACCCCGCGUGGGCAACACGAACAUCCUCGAUACUGGACGUAGGGCUUCCCUUGCCCGAACCAGUCUAAACCCGUGUCUCUCACGCAACCACCUGAGGCUUACGCGCAUAAAAGAAAUUCACUAGUCUAAGUCUUGAUCCGCCGAUCUUGACAACGACAGUUGGCGCGCCAGGUAGGAGACCUUUGCGCGUACGUUCCCAGCCUCAGAUGGCCAAUUACGAUGGUAGCUUUGCUCCGGGCUCCCUGAUCCGAUUUGGGAGCCUGGACUUCCUCGCCACUGGGGAAGGGAUCGAGCUGAUCCCUAUCCUCGUCCUACCCGCUCGCCCAGCUGCCCCCGGCCCUGCCGCCGGGACGGUGGCGAGCGAUCGCUCUCCUACUGGAAGGACCUCGCCAAGAGGACAACCCUUCGGGAUACGCAACGCCACGGGGGCUUACGGACGCCUCCUAGCACGGUCCUUGACCACGUCGCCCGCGAGCAACGAGCUCGUAGGCGCGGCAAGGACAAUCUCAGACGCUGGCUCCAGCAGCGGGAGUCCCCACCCCUCGCGCGAGUGCCUUGUGGUCGACGCGCACUCCGAGGGGUCCAACGGCGAUGGUGCCGAGGGGAGACAAUGGGUUCCCGCCUCGCGCGCCGCAGCUACAACUGGAGCCUUACCAAGGGCCCCGGAGUGUUCUCGGCAACCAGAAGCGCGUGUGGGCGCUCGCCAAGAAGUAGAGCACCCCCACUACGAGGGGGGAGCGCGACAAUGGGCGCGCGACGUCCAGCAACGCAUCUGUGCGGACGGAGAGCGUCCGCCGCUCUUUGCCCGCGCUAGCCAAAACGUCGCAGCCGCGGCGGUGUUGCUCCGACAGCUCCCCGAACCAGCGACGCCCGAGGAGCGACAGGCACGCCAAGAGAUGCGCAACCUGCUCGAGUGCGCCGUCGUCCAGCAGGCGGAAAGUUCAGCGUCCUGGCGACGCAGGCAGAACGCGAGCCGAGCGACGCCUGACGCACCCCCAGAACGGCGGGGGGAAUCUGUCCAUCAACCCCCUCCGGGGGCGAAUCAGGCCGCGUCCGCCCGACGGACCCCACCACCCGCGGGAGGCGAGGCUCGAUCCGUCCACCAGCGCGUCGGUCUCGUCCGCGACGCCCGCGACACCCUGAACGCGCGGAGAUGCUCUCGCGCGGACAGGGUGGACGGGGCAGAUCGAGGCUACCACGUUCACCGUGGAGGGCGCUACGACAGCGGGGAAGACCGCAGCCCGAGCCCAGGAACGGCUGGGCCUUGGGCCUUCUCCACGCGCAUCCUAAAUGCGCCCUUUCCGCCACGCUUCAGGCAACCCACGAGUGUAGCCAAAUACUCAGGGGAGACAAAUCCUGGAGUGUGGAUCAGCGAUUACCGGCUUGUAUGUCAAGCCGGCGGGGCGGAUGAUGACCUGUUUAUCAUCCGCAACCUACCCCUUUUCCUGGCAGACUCCACGUGAGCUUGGCUGGAACAUAUCCCUUCGGGACGCGUUCGCAACUAGAACGACCUGAAAGAGGUUUUCAUAGGAAACUUCCAAGGGACGUACACGCGCCCCAGCAACUCCUGGGAUCUCCGGAGCUGUCGUCAGGGGGCGGAUGAGUCCCUCCGGGAUUACAUCCGGCGCUUCUCCAGAAAGCGCACCGAGCUCUCCAACGUCGCGGACGCCGACGUCAUAGGAGCCUUCCUAGCAGGGACCUCUUGCCGGCCCCUCGUCCACGAGCUGGGGCGCCGAGGCCCGCGAACCACGGAAGAGCACCGACCCCGAGGGAAUCAACGCUGCCUUACCUGACUCGGCCCUGGAAGCCAAGCCAUCCGACCCCGUGGUCAUGGAAAUCACGGCAGACCCCGCGGCGGGGGCCGACCCCCCAAUCGACUGGAGAGCCCCGUACCUCGACUACCUUGUCCGCGGCACGCUCCCGGCAGACAAAACAGAAGCCCGCAGGAUCGCGCGCCGUGCAAAAUCCUUCACCAUCAUUGACCAGGAGCUCUACAAGAGAAGUCACACUGGGAUCCUCCAGCGCUGCAUCCCGAUUGAGCAGGGAAAGGCGCUGAUCCAGGAUAUCCACGUCAGGGCUUGUGGUCACCACGCCGUGCCAAGGACACUUGUUGGCAACGCCUUCCGACAAGGUUUUUACUGGCCAACUGCGGUCGCGGAUGCUACCCAGGUAGUCCGCACCUGUGAAGGAUGCCAGUUCUUUGCCCGCCAAACUCACCUGCCCGCGCAGGCGUUGCAAACCAUCCCCAUCACAUGGCCAUUUGUGGUCUGGGAGCUGGAUCUCGUCAGACCCUUCAAAAGGGCACCCGGGGGCUUCACCCAUCUGCUCGUCGCUGUCGACAAGUUCUCCAAAUGGAUCGAAGCAAGACCAGUGGCGCAAAUCAGGUCCGAGCAGGCGGUACAGUUCUUCACCGACAUCAUCCACCGCUUCGGGAUCCCAAAUUCCAUCAUCACCGACAACGGCACGCAGUUCACCGGGAAGAGAUUUCUCCAGUUCUGCGACGACCACCACAUUCGAGUGGAUUGGGCGGCAGUGGCGCACCUCCGCACGAACGGGCAAGUUGAGCGAGCCAACGGCAUGAUACUCCAGGGUCUCAAGCCACGGAUCUUCGACCGCCUUAAAAAGUUCGGCGGACGGUGGGUUGUGGAGCUUCCAGCAGUCCUCUGGAGCUUGAGGACGACCCCCAGCCGGGCGACGGGGUUCACCCCAUUCUUCAUGAUCUACGGGUCAGAGGCCAUUUUGCCCACCGACCUAGAGUACGGGUCGCCGAGGGUUAAGGCAUACGACGAACAGGGAAACCAGGCAUCACUCGAGGACGCACAAGAUCAACUCGACGAGGCGCGAGAUGUAGCCCUACUACACUCGGCUAAAUGCCAGCAGGCCCUACGGCGUUACCACAACCGCAAGAUACAAGGCCGCGCCUUCAACGUCGGUGAUUUAGUGCUCCGCCUCGUCCAGGACAACAGGGGUCGGCACAAGUUGACUCCCCCAUGGGAAGGCCCGUUCAUCGUCGUACAAGUACUACGACCAGGCACCUACAAGCUGGCAACUCCCGACGGGCAAAUCUUCAGCAACGCCUGGAACAUAGAACAGCUAAGGCGCUUUUACCCAUAGCUUUUAUUUCCAAGUUCUGCAUAAACUUGUCGUCAUUUCCGUUCUUUCAUUUAAGCUCAGGGGCAUCCGACCCUGGCCUCGUUCCAGGGCCGCAUACCCCUCGGGGGCUACCAGUUUUGUUCUUCUGCGAAAAAAGAAACCCCGAGCCACCUCGGUUCAGGCCUUUUCCUUUAAGCUCAGGGGUAUCCGACCCUGGCCUUGCUCCAGGACUGCAUACCCCUCGGGGUCUAUCAGGGGUCCCGACCCCAGCCGCUGGGCGCCAUCUAAAAAGAAAACAUUUUUUCUUUUUCAAACCAAACACUCCCUUUCUAGACCAUUGGACGCAAAAAAGAGAAGGAUGCGUGAACGGUGCUCAGGCAAGAUUUGAUCGGACCGCGAAAAAACCUACGCCCCAGCGGCUACGGCACCUUCGCUCAUCAAAACUUACUGACGCACCCGGCAACGCAUCCUAAGCUUUCGAGCCCAAAGGAACAACAAAGGGAAUCGGGUUCUUUCACGCAACAAAAGUCAUAGAAUAGGCUCGUAUGGCCAACGCGAAACAAGUUCAAGACUGACAUAAUUACAAACUUUUUUGGGGCGCCAGCCCGGCACAGCUAACUUGACGAGGGGUCGGCAGGAGGGGCGGCCUCAUCCUCCAGGAGCUUCGCGAGGGCCUCCGCCGGCGCGGUCACCGCGGCAUCGAUCUCGUCCAGCUCAGCUUCGGUGUAGCCCGCGGCGUACCCUUCACUCAUCCCGGCAAAGUUGAUGCCAGAAUAGUGAGAGCCGAAGACCCCGAAGGCUCGCCGCACGCCAAGGUGAAGCGCGUCCACGACGAUCUCGCGACGCCGACGGCGUACCCCGAGGACACGAGCCGGCAGAGAGCUCGACCCCUCCUCCGGAGCUACGCCAAAGUCGUCGCAGACGACGCGGGCCGCAUCUCGCAGGGCGCUGUGCUCACCGCGCUCCUCGUCGAGCAGACCCCGCAACUUGGCGAUUUCACCUGCAGAAACCACCCAGAAAAUCCCACCAAGUCAAAAAAACAGAACACAAACAACACGGGAACGCGGGAACAGAAGAAACCUCACCGUCGAUCUGGGUCUUCAACUCACGCUCCCGGUCGGCCCCUCGGGACAUGGCGGACUGAAGUCCCUGCACUUACGAGCGAAGUUGGCCGGCCUCCAUCCGGAGGGCUUCGCGCUCCCUCCUCAGCUGCGCAAGCUCCUCGGCGUCGCGGCGGGCCCUCUCAGCAGCAGCUUGAAGCCCCUCAGCAUCGCGGCGGGCCCUUUCGGCGACGGCCUGGAACUCCUCGAGGUCGAGGCGGGCCUUUUUGGUGACGGCUUGGAGCCUGGCCCCCGCACGCCGCGCCUCCUCCGAAGCCGCCCGCUCACGCCCUUGCAGGUCGCGAAUGACCCCCUGGGCGGCGCCGAGUUGCAGGGACAGGUCCCUGGUGCGCUCCCUUUCGGUAUUGAAGCGGUCCCAGAGAUCCUGCUGCCGCCGGAGGAAAUCGGAUUUCCCCCGACUGCCCUCUUGGAGAGCCUGCAAAGCAACAUGCCGUUAAGGCAAAAGGCAAAAGGGAGGUACUCAUCACCAACAGUAGGAGCAACAUACCUAGCUGCCAGGGAGGACGGUGUUGCCCAGAACUCCCAGCGCCGAAGACAGAGCCGCCUGGACCUGGGCGAUGCCGCCCUGCACCGCCUGCCACCUGUGCCACUCGGCGGCAUCAUCCAGCGCGAAGAGAUGCCUCGGCGGGUCAUCACGGGAUGACCAGCGGAGGACGGACCCUCUCCACGCCCUGGGAACGGAGGAAGCCGAGGCUGAGACAGGGGCCGACCCUGACGCUGCCGUCGAGGUCGGCACCAUGGCGCUAGAAGCCGCCGGAUCUAUCGACGGCCCCGGCACCUGCACGCUCGUCGCCGCCAAGGCCGUCAACGGUAUCCCGGUGGGCACCUCCACCUCAGCCGCUGGGGCCACUCCCACGGGGGUGAUCGGGGCGGAGGCCCCUGCCUCCGUCACCACUGCCUCAGCCGCCACCGCGCCUCCGGGAGCAGGCGCUCCCUCCGCCUCUGGUCCCGCCACGGCUGCGGGGGCAUCCGCCCUACCUCCCAUCGCCGCCGCCUCCUCUGCCUCGUCGGCGUCGAGGUCGAUCACCUCCCCGGCCUGAGCCCGGGAGGAUCGCGCCCUGAGCUGAAGGGGCGACCGGAGGAACCGAAGGCGGAGUAGAGUCUGCUCCCCCUCCCGCGGCUGACGCCGCCGUCGCUCCGCCAGCCGCCCCCACAGGGGCCACCUCCGCGGGGGGAUCCGCGGCCGCACCAGGAACCCCGCCGCUCGCCGCAGGCGGGGCCGCGGCCCGCUCCCCGGAGGAGGUCGACAACCGCAGUGCUUUCUUGGGCGCUAGCUACAGGGUGAGGCCACGGGGAGUAGUGCUGCACAUCGACGGCGAGACGUCAGCAGAAACAAACGAAAAAAGAGGAGAGGAACGACACGCAGGGAAGGCCAACUUACAUCCUCAAAGCACAAGGGCGGCGCGCGCGCUUCGACUUGGAGCCAGACGCCGACCCCGGGGCAUCCGGCAACAGCCGCUUGUCGCCGCUUCGCUGCUCUCCGGCAGCGGGCACGGCGGUGGAGGCAGGCUCCACGGACCCCCGAGGAGCGCCCUAAACGGACUCCUGGGGAGCACCCCGCGCCGGACUCAAAGCUAUGGCUGAGGCAGGCUCUGAAGACCCCCGAGGGGCGCUCCGUGUCGACACUAGGGGGGCAUCCCUUGCCGACCCCGAGGGAGCGUCCCGCGUCCGCUCGUGGGGGAUGCCCUGCGCCGACCCCGGGGGAGCAUUCGGCGCCCGCUCCUGGGGGACGCCCUGCACCGACCCUGGGGGAGCGUCCUGCACCCGCUCCUGGGGGACGCCCUGCGCCGACCCCUGGGAGGCGUCCCGCGCCUGCCCCCGGGGGACGUCCUGCGCCGACCCCUGGGGGGCGGCCCGCGCCAGCUCUUGGGGCACGCGCUGUGCUGGCCCCUGAGGCACAGCCCCAGGGCUUGGAGGAGCCGAAGCCCGGGUGGACGCCUCCCCCGCUUCACCUCCCGCGGCCGUCUGCGGGGGCGCCUCACGAAUCACCAAGGCCCCCAAACGGGGGGGAACCAGCUCCUCCUCCCCUUCUUCAUCAUCUUCUUCAUCUUCAUCCUCUUCAUCAUCGUCGUCAUCGUCGUCAGACACGACCGCCCCCCUCCGCCGCCGCUGGAACUCCUUGGCGGCCUUCUUCCGCUUCCUCGCCGUCUCCUUGUCCUUGCGGCGCUUCUGCGCCUCGGCUUGGAGACGAUUGCGAGCUCUCCAUUCAGCAUCUUCCGGCACCGGCGGAAGGGAGUCUGCGACCCGAGUUAGUGAGCCCUGCAAACGCAAAACAGCUCCGCGUCAGACCAACAAAUAGCAGGACACAAAGAAAGGAAGACGACGCCCCAACUCCUUACCAGGUCUAUGAAGCCCGCCUCCGGGCGCAUCGGCGGGUGCCUGGGAAUCGGGUACUCGACGUCCCUGUCCUCUAGCACCUCCCGAAGCCGUUGCCGGAUCUCGGAGGUGGCAAGUGCGCCCGUCGCCAAGGCUGUGCCCUCGGUCGGCGCGUCAGGGGUCAUGGCACCAAGCGGCCGGACCCGGAGCAUCAGCGGCGCCACCCGCCGGGCGUGGUACGCUCUGAUGACCCCGGCGCCGGUGAGCCCAUUCCUCUUCAGCUGCUCGAUGGCCUGCAGCAAGUCGGAGAACCGCUUCUUCUCCUUCUCCACCGGCCCGUACGCCCAUACCUCUGGCGCCGCGUCGAUGGUGCGGCCGGUGAAAGCCGGCAAAGGGGAGUCCGGGUAGCUCUUCACGUAGAACCACUGGUUGUGCCACCCUUUGUGGGACGCCGAGGUCUUCACCGUCAUAUACUCCUUGGAGCGAGUAUGACGGAGGUGGAUCCCGGCGCACCCGAUCGGCACCGGAGGCGACCGCUGCUGGCUCCCGGCUUUCCCCGACUUCUGGUACAAACUCACUGUGAAAAAAUAUUUCCACAGCGAGAAGUGGGGCUCGAUGCCCAGGAAUCCCUCGCACAGCACGACGAACGCCGCAAUGUGCUGGAUCCCAUUGGGGUUGAGGUGCUGGAGCUCGAGCCCAUAAUGGUGGAGGAGCCCACGGAAGAAGCGGCUCGGAGGGGAAGCGAACCCCCGCUCAUGGAAGUGAGCGAAGGAGACGACGUAGCCGGGGGGAGGCGACGGAACUUGCUCCGUCCCUGGCAGCUCCCACUCGCCCGCCGCCAUCCUCUCGCAGAGGAGACCCUUCCGCACCAGGCCCUCGGCGCGCGAGGAGGUGAAAUGAGAAACCCCCCAGGAAUCCAUCGCCGGAAGAGGGAGGAGAUCGACGGAGACGGGAAGAAGAGCGUGCGGCUUGGAGCGGAGGAAACGAGGCGAGCACGGAUGAACUGAGCGUGAGGCUGGGAGGCAAGAAGGCUUGAAUGCGGAAGGAAGGCAAAACCGGCGCGGCGAGCCCCUGCUUUUAUAGGAAAAGUAACGGGGAAGCCAAAUCGACGCCCCGGCCACCAUGAAUGCAGUGCCAGGUACGCCCCUGCCACGCCCGUUUCCUUUUCGAAAACCGCGCGCACGAUCGGCCGCGAAAACAUCCUAUCCUCCUCGAUUCGCGGGACGGCACUCCCCAUAACUCCACUUCCCGGGUAGCGCGCCCACGACGCCCCCCACGUUCGGCCCAGGCGCAACGACCGCUUCGCUCCGGCCCAAGGCCCACAGGGAGGUAAGAAAGGGAUACGGGGCUGAAAACGCCCCUACGGCCCAUUAUGGUCCAGAGGUUCGAAAGCUGGCCCAACACAGGUUCGACAGCUGCCUCAGGACAUCCCCCGAGCAAGGAGUGAGAAGGGACGGGCCUGCUAGCGGCCAAUACCCAGGCGAGCGAAAGCCAAGGGUGUCCCAAUCUCACGUUCGAGUCCCGCCCGGUAUAAAAUUCAUGGUUUUUCCACGGGGAAAGGCAAUGAGCCCCCAGAUCCGGUCGAACGGAUCCAGGAACUAUAUGAAUUGGCCGGCGGGAAAUUGGAGUGCGCCACCAGCUUGGCUCGAGCCGGACCCCCCCGAACGGGGACCGGGACUCCACUCGAACCUACCCGUUUGCAGCUCAAACGAGCACCACGGUUCGUCCAACGCGGAUAACGUGGCCCGGCUCAACCCCUCCGUCCUAGCGAACGGACGCCUGAGGGACAACGAUCAAAAGUCGACCUAGCCUCCCAAUCGGUUUCCUGCAACGAGCAGGAGCUCGGGGGCUAGUUUCGCAACCAACUACCACGCGUGUGGUCACAAUUCGCAGGUUCCCCAGCUAGGUUGAAAUAAACCAAACACGCCAUAAAACAGAGCCCGCGGCGAAACAGCGAAAGAAGCCUCCGGAGGAGCACUUCUGCUCCACCACAGGCUCGGGGGCUACUGUUGGGGGGAAAUAUUAACGAUCCCCUAAGACACCACUUAAGGAAGCAGACACGGAGGCCCGGGCCCACCUAGACGUGAUCAAAGCUCCGUCUCGCCCGACCAAGACGCCAGGAUCGGGAACGUCCGACCCCCCUCCACAAAGUUUCCGCCUCGCCCGACUGCGGCCCCGGGGUCGGGGGCGCCCGACCCCUCGUCACGAAGUUCCGCCUCGUCCGACCCCAAGUGAAGGGGUCGGGCGCGCUGAGGCCCCCGGGGCAGGCAUCCCCCUCGGAUACGGUCCAGAUGGACGAGACCGACAAAAUCCUGUGGGUCCCCCCGUCGACCUCGCCAUAAAUGCGCCGCAGGCCUGGCAGAGGGAACGGAUGACCGCGCUCCUCACGCAACCUGUCACAAGUACCCGUGCACGACCACGCUGUAUAGGCUACAGUGCCGGCGGCUGACUCCCAUUCGCCGCAGGGUACUCAUGGCCUGCGCCGGCCGGAGCGAAGGAGAGACCGGCCUGUCCUCGGGCCCCGCGCGCCCUCGGGCCCCGCACGGCAAGGAUGUGACGCUCUCUCUCAGGAGCCAUCGCCUGAACAACAGCAUCCACCGUCCUCCCUAGCAGACACC
rnacentral:lncRNA from 1 species